CAGAGAGUCAGAGAGAGACGUGGGAGAGGAGUCAUGCAGCUCGCGUGAUUUAAUAGUACUCUGUGUCUGAAUUUAUUCAGUUCUCUUACUGUUUAAAGUGAGUAAACUGCUACCAGUCAGGGUUUAAACAGCAGUAACGACACUCUGCUGAAGUGCAGCCUGAUAGGGGUGAGUUUGCAGUGGGUUUCCCGGCGCUAAUGCUGGGGUGCAGUAGCUUUAGCAGUAGCCGCUAACCGCUAACGCUAGCUCCAGAGCCAUUCAGAGGCUAGAGUUUUGGACUGUAGUCUGAAUGUCUGCCGUGAUAAACCAAGCUACGUGGGACAACCGCUAGCUGAUAGCGCCCUGGGUUACCGGAACGCUCAGGGUUCCUCAGUCUAUCCUCCGAGGGACGUGAAUGCUGUCCGCUAGCGCUCCGAGUUACCGGAAUGCUCGGAGUUCCUCGGGUGAGCCACCAGUUCAAGCCCCACUGUAUCCCAAGAGCCGCUGACGGACAAGUUUAACUUCAGGGCCUCGCUGCAGCUCCCCUCAGCCUCCCAGAACAGAUAAAACACAUCGUCGUGGAGACGCCACAGCUCCUCUCUCUCACUGUCCUCACCUAAAACUCACACAGACACACACAGAUCAUCUGACAUGCAGAAGAGGUACAUAAACUCUACAGGUAGAUAAACUGGUGAAGCUCUGCAGAAUCCGGAAGAAUUAUUAGUGCAUUUAUUGUCAACAUCUCUUUCUAUUAUUGAAAGUGAUUCCAAACUUCUGGGCACAAAUAAAAGAGAAAAUGUCAAAGUUCUAAAA